CAGCCAGGUUUUAGCAGGCGUCUAGGAAAGACGUAUGGGCAGCGGACUGGAACAGGCUAACAGGCUAACGCUAACUUGGCCCCUCCGGAUUGUGGGACAGGGAGCCCCCAUGAGCUGUUCAUGCUGACCCGGCCUGCCUGCUGGGUGCGUGGGUCAGGUUGAUCAUGUGCACCACGAUCCUGAUCAUCUCGACCCUGUCAGUCAUUCUGCGCAGGCGAUUCAACAACCGAGUCAAACCCCAUCCGGACGAGCUGGGGGAGAAAGAGAUGGCAUACGUGCAGAGAGAACUGCAGCCCGUGGAGAAGUGAGGCUCCCCGCGCUGUCAGGGAUCAGUUCCAGGUACAUUGCUACAGUAAAGUUGGAUGUACGCCAGACCGACAUAGCCUUCUGAAACACGCACCUGUCAUCCUCUUCGGCCUCUAACGGAGUUCACCUGCAAUUUAUCCUCAGGCAGCAGCAACCAGUUGUGAAGACACGGAGAAGGUGACAGCCUUACAGGAUCGUGACUAGGGGCAGGACGUACUGAAUGGCAAUGAAAGAGCCUUGCCCUAACCAGAGGAACUCGACUCUAGCACACAGUGCAGAGUAUCAAUGUCUCGACUCAAGUUGCAAAUACAGAAACAGUGUCGGUCACCUGAGACUGAUAAGAGGGGGUGGUCUGGCCAGAAACCCCCAGCUCUGUUUGGGCCAUUUCCAAACACCAGUGGACUGGGACUGUCUGGGAGUCAGAAGGGAGAGAGCGGAUGCUUCUUCAGCAUGCCUGGAGCAGAGGAUAGAAGGGUGGCUUGUGCUCGCCUGCCAGGGCACUGGAGAGACGUGAGGGAGUGGAGCAUAGAGAAGAGACAGAGCCACAGAAUGUGGGUCCAGGAUGUCGAAAAUGUCCUCAGUUCAAUGGCUAGGCAACUGUGUGCUUCCCUGGAUAAAUAUCCUCGCCACGAGCCUGGGGAUGGCUCAAACCACUUCUCCCCUUCCUUCCAAGACUGGUUUGCCUCCCGUCAUCCAGCCCUUACUUACAGACAGCUGUAGGUCCUCUGCACCCACAGACUGAAGAGCCAUGGAACAUAUUGCUCAGCAGCUAAAAUGGACAAUGGCAAAAUUAAGCCUUCAUUGUUGAUUGAUUUGAAAUGUUUAUUGGUGUGAAUCAUCUAGAAACCACCAUAGAUAGUGCUGCCACAGAGGAGGAGUCAAAGAUAUUCAGUUAUAUGCCAGAGACACCAAAGCUCAUGAAAAUACAUUUCUACCCUUGUCUGACUCUCUCCAUUUCAGGACAUGCAUUGAAAGCAAAGAGGAACAAAGGGGAUGCAACCGUUCCAAAGCAUGAUGUGUACUCCUCUAUGAUAAGUUGCUGUUUGACAUUCUGGAGAGGUGUAAUCAUAUAAAGAAAAAGAUGUCUUCCAAGAGUUACACUCCAAUAAAGGAUGAUGAUAAGUCAAACAGAGACCAGAGUUUACAGUCUGGCCUUCUCUGGUCCAAGAGGCUAGAGACCAAUUCUUCCCUCACGCAAUCCUCCCCUCAAUUAAAUAAACUUGUGAUUUAUCUGA